AGUUAACGGGGAUAAAAAUGGGGUCCGGAAAAGCCUGUUUAGGCUACCUCGUUUUAAAGAGGAAAUGUUUGAUUUUUCUCCCUUUUUCUUUAUUCUUUUUCUUAUUUUCCUCCGCCGUUUUCUUUCAUUGCCGCGCGCCCGAAGUCCUCACCCCCUUGCCCUAACCGGCGCCGAGCUAACCGCUCGCGAUUUAAGCCCCGAUCAAGGUUUGUUCCUUUUUCUUCUUCUCCGCUCUGCCGUCCCCAAAUCGCCGGUGCCUUUCCUCUAUGCCCUAGCAUCUCUGCCGAUGCCACUGUCUCUCUUUCUCUCGACGCCGAGCAGCACCGAGCCCUAGGUGCCAACGCCGUCGACGCCUUUUUCCGACCUCUUCUGUGCCACUCCGAGACUCCUUGUCCGAGUUCUCACCGUGCCCUAGCCCCCGCUCAGCAGAUAGCCGGCUGCCAACACUCAAAGCAAUUGUCGAUUUGUAGCCUCUGCCCUAGCCUCUGUUUCCGACGCUGGUAAGGGUUCUGCCGUGGCCACCACUUGGGAUCUGUAUGUCGUCGUCGCCCCUUUGCUCUGGUUUACUGCCUCAGUAGCCCUUGCUGGAAACAACACCGGUGACCUAACUCCUCCGUCCUCUAAUCCAGUGAGCUACUGGAUGAAGCAUCAAGAGUUUGUUGCUGUCUCUGUUUGAUUCCGGCCACCACCCCCUGUCAACAGCUUGACACACCUGAGUAGGAAGGAUUCCAGCAGCAAACGAUCCUACUUCCAACAGUGAUAAAACGGCUGUGAGUUUCAGGAUCUUGACGCGAGACGAGUAUCUUGGAGUCAGAUUUGGAUCACUUUAUUGGAGG